CUUCUUCACUUAUUCCCCAAUUCAAUUUCAAAAUAAAACCCGAGAACACAAGCAAUCCCCACACCGAAAGUGGAUCGAUCGAAAAGAAGAGCAGCGGCGCCUCUCCCUUGCCGCCCGUCGGUCACUGCUGCUGCUGCGCCGCUCUGAUCAGCACCGCACGGCUGAGUUUUCGGAGCUUCCCGACGUGGUGAAGCAGCCGUCUCGCUGACGGCCCGGUUUGGGCACUGCGGCUUGCUGCCGCUGCCGCUGGUCCCGCCGUCAUCGGAGUCGUAACGUUGGAGAAGGAGAGGAGGCAUUGCCUUUCCCUCUCUCUGCAGAUACCUCCGGCCGAGCAGCUGCUGCCCGGUGCCGUCUACGCUGCCGUCCGCCCUCGCCGGAUCCCGACCGGUAGAUUUGUGAAGGCCCUGAACUUAUAAAUGGUUAUGAGAUUUGUGUGGCUGCCAUCGCCGUCGGGGAGUCGCCGAAGCAACUGUCGGAACAAGCCACCGAGAUAAGCUUCCUAACUUUCGUUUAUUAUAGUCUUAAAACUUGUGUUGGCCAUUUUAUGAGUUUGAUGCACUUAUGCAUAUUUUGACAUUUUUGGAACACUUUGUAGUCCAGAAUUUUGCUCGUUUGUGUUGGGCAGAUUCUAAUCCUUAGUUUGAAUGCUAUGCAUAAAACUUGUUUUCCAUGUAUUCGUGUGACUUUCUAAAUGAAUGACAAGAGCUAUUAGAAUUGGUGUGGUGAUUACCUGACUUUCUUUGAGUGGCUGUCGGUGCAAGCUGGUGGUGCAAGGGAGCUCCUUUACUCCGUCCCUUACUAUUACUCUCUGCUCACUCUAACUUUCUUUACUCACUCUCUAACUCUCGACAAUGGAUGUGGUCAUAUUGUGGUGUAAAGAAGGUUUUUUUUUGUAGGUAAACAUAUGUACUCGGUGCUAUUAAAGGGGAUGAUGUAUUCCCUUGUCCUCUCUCUGCAGUAAAUCCUUUAUUUUGAUUCUUUGCAGCUGCUUUAACUAACUUCUGGUGAUGUACCAGGAAUAGAGACUUUUGUAUUUGUCCUAUUAGCUGAUUUUGUAGGGGAUAUCAUCAGAGGCUGCAGAAUUUGUUAGAAGCAGGGGUGCAGAGUCGCUGCGGCUGCCCCCUGGCUCGGCAGCUUUCGGUUAUGUCUGGGGGGUACAAACUGUCGGAUGCAGCCUUGCAGGGAUCCUGCAGCUACUGGAUUGGUUCUGCCGGCUGGACUUGCCCUUUUCCAGCCCAUCUUUCUCUCAUUUUUCUGAAAGCGAUUGAGGCUGGCUACACAUGACUCAUUAUCCAAAGUUCCAGCCCAUCGGGCCUCUCCGAAACUAGGCCGAGACAGCUUGCGCUGAAGGCCGAGGAAGUUCUCUAGGAACUCUUGAUUGUAAUAGAGUAGCUCGGUUUAAGUUUCUCUCUUUUUCUUUACUCUAACAUGUAUGUAGAGUCUAUUGAAAUUAAUGUGUUUCUAUUUUCCUUUGCUCUCUUUGAACAUUUGUAAGCUUAGACUUUAGCUCGAAAUACUAAAAUGUUGUGUUGCUCAAGAAAUAAAUAAAUAUUCUUUCUUUCUCUUUAUUUAAA